ACUAAAAUGGCAGAAAUAUGCGUAAGAUUUAGGUUCUUAUUAUGAAAUAAAAUUUUCUUUUAGUA
rnacentral:tRNA from 1 species